rnacentral:rRNA from 1 species
GCCCGUCACGCCAUGAGAGUCUGUAACACCCAAAGCCGGUGGGAUAACCUUUAUAGGAGUCAGCCGUCUAAGGUAGGACAGAUGAUUAGGGUGAAGUCGUAACAAGGUAAC